AUUGAACGCUGGCGGCAGGCCUAACACAUGCAAGUCGAGCGAGCGGCGGACGGGUGAGUAAUGUAUGGGGACUGCCCGAUAGAGGGGGAUAACUACUGGAAACGGUGGCUAAUACCGCAUACUAUCGGAUAACCACAAUGGGUUUAGCUAGUAGUUGGGGUAACGGCUCACCAAGGCGACGAUCUCUAGCUGGUCUGGAAGGAUGAUCAGCCACACUGGGACUGAGACACGGCCCAGAUUCCUACGGAGGCAUCAGUGGGGAAUAUUGAACAAUGGGCGCAAGCCUGAUGCAGCCAUGCCGCGUGUAUGAAGAAGGCCUUAGGGUUGUAAAGUACUUUCAGCGGGGAGGCGUUACCCGCAGAAGAAGCACCGGCUAACUCCGUGCCAGCAGCCGCGGUAAUUC
rnacentral:rRNA from 1 species